GUAGUAUUCCUUCCGUCCCAAAAUUCUUGUCUUACAUUUGUUUAGAUACGGAUGUAUCUAACACUAAAAUGUAACUAGAUACAUCCGUAUUUAGACAAAUUUAAGACAAGAAUUUUGGGAUGGAGGGAGUACAAA
rnacentral:pre_miRNA from 1 species